rnacentral:rRNA from 1 species
GACGAACGCUGGCGGCGUGCCUAAUACAUGCAAGUCGAGCGAAUCUGAGGGAGCUUGCUCCCAAAGGUUAGCGGCGGACGGGUGAGUAACACGUGGGCAACCUGCCUAUAAGACUGGGAUAACUUCGGGAAACCGGAGCUAAUACCGGAUAAUUCUUUUCUACACAUGUAGGAAAGCUGAAAGACGGUUUCGGCUGUCACUUAUAGAUGGGCCAGCGGCGCAUUAGCUAGUUGGUGAGGUAACGGCUCACCAAGGCGACGAUGCGUAGCCGACCUGAGAGGGUGAUCGGCCACACUGGGACUGAGACACGGCCCAGACUCCUACGGGAGGCAGCAGUAGGGAAUCUUCCGCAAUGGACGAAAGUCUGACGGAGCAACGCCGCGUGAGUGAUGAAGGUUUUCGGAUCGUAAAACUCUGUUGUUAGGGAAGAACAAGUACUAGAGUAACUGCUAGUACCUUGACGGUACCUAACCAGAAAGCCACGGCUAACUACGUGCCAGCAGCCGCAGUAA